GCCCAGACUCCUACGGGAGGCAGCAGUGGGGAAUAUUGCACAAUGGGGGAAACCCUGAUGCAGCGACGCCGCGUGAGCGAUGAAGUAUUUCGGUAUGUAAAGCUCUAUCAGCAGGGAAGAAAAUGACGGUACCUGACUAAGAAGCCCCGGCUAACUACGUGCCAGCAGCCGCGGUAAUACGUAGGGGGCAAGCGUUAUCCGGAUUUACUGGGUGUAAAGGGAGCGUAGACGGCAAUGCAAGCCAGAUGUGAAAGCCCGGGGCUCAACCCCGGGACUGCAUUUGGAACUGUGUAGCUGGAGUGUCGGAGAGGCAGGCGGAAUUCCUAGUGUAGCGGUGAAAUGCGUAGAUAUUAGGAGGAACACCAGUGGCGAAGGCGGCCUGCUGGACGAUGACUGACGUUGAGGCUCGAAAGCGUGGGGAGCAAACAGGAUUAGAUACCCGAGUACAA
rnacentral:rRNA from 1 species